UGGUGACCUACGUAAAAUAUGUUUAGAAUAUAAAGAGGCGCAGGUGGUCAGGUACACCACACAAAGCCAGCCAAUCCGAGAGCAUUACAAGAACACAGAGAUUCCGAGAACAGUACAAAGAUAGCAGAGAAAUUCUUCUUCAACAAAACAUGCAGGGCCGCACGGUUGUUCGAAUCACUUUCUUGCUGGUAUUAUUGUCAGUGGUGGGAGAAGCCUACCACACCGGGAUAAACCAUCUCAUUAGGAAGAGAAGCACCGUCUGCCACGACAAGGAGGGACAUAUCUGGUACCAGAAUGAGUGCGCCUGCAGGGACCGGAAGUAUAAAUGCUGUUGUGGAUCCGAGGGGAUGUUUUGGUGUGAAGAAAUGAUCUCUUGUUAUUAAAACAUUUUUUGUUUUGCAAGUUUCACUUAACUGAUAACAGUUAUUAUGCCUGAAUAUAAAUAAUUUCAAUAAAUAUUUUUACAUUUCUGUUUUUUGAAGUAAAAUUAACCUUGGAAGGACUUAUAAUACUACAAUCUGUGUAUCUACAAUGUAGGUAUUACGUGGAAUUAAUAUUGCAGAAAGAGUUGUUAUAAGUUCUAAACAUACA